GACGAACGCUGGCGGCGUGCUUAACACAUGCAAGUCGAACGGAAAGGCCCUGCUUUUGUGGGGUGCUCGAGUGGCGAACGGGUGAGUAACACGUGAGUAACCUGCCCUUGACUUUGGGAUAUCUUCAGGAAACUGGGGCUACUACCGGAUAGGAGCUCCUGCUGCAUGGUGGGGGUUGGAAAGUUUCGGCGGUUGGGGAUGGACUCGCGGCUUAUCAGCUUGUUGGUGGGGUAGUGGCUUACCAAGGCUUUGACGGGUAGCCGGCCUGGGAGGGGGGCCGGCCACAAUGGGACUGAGGGACGGAGCAGACGGGUACGGUGGGCAGCAGUGGGAAAUAUGGCACAAUGGGCGGAAGCCUGAGGCAGCAACGCCGCGUGCGGGAUGACGGCCUUCGGGUUGUAAACCGCUUUCGCCUGUGACGAAGCGGGAGUGACGGUAAUGGGUGAAGAAGCACCGGCUAACUACGUG
rnacentral:rRNA from 1 species